GACGUAGGGCGCAAGCGUUGUCCGGAUUUAUUGGGCGUAAAGAGCUCGUAGGCGGCUGGUCGCGUCUGCUGUGAAAAUCAGGGCUCAACCCUGGACCUGCAGUGGGUACGGGCAGACUAGAGUGCGGUAGGGGAGAUCGGAAUUCCUGGUGUAGCGGUGAAAUGCGCAGAUAUCAGGAGGAACACCGGUGGCGAAGGCGGAUCUCUGGGCCAGUUACUGACGCUGAGACGCGAAAGCGUGGGGAGCGAACAGG
rnacentral:rRNA from 1 species